rnacentral:tRNA from 1 species
GCCCUCGUAGCUCAGCCGGAUAGAGCAACGGUUUUCUAAACCGUAGGUCGGAAGUUCGAGUCUUCCCGGGGGCA